rnacentral:rRNA from 1 species
UACGUAGGGUGCAAGCGUUAAUCGGAAUUACUGGGGCGUAAAGCGUGCGCAGGCGGUUAUGUAAGACAGAUGUGAAAUCGCCCGGCUUAACCUGGGACUGCAUUUGUGACUGCAUGGCUAGAGUUUGGCAGAGGGGGGUAGAAUUCCACGUGUAGCAGUGAAAUGCGUAGAUAGUGUGGAGGAACACCGAUGGCGAAGGCAGCCCCCUGGGUCAAGAUUG